UUUUUUAAACUAUUGCUACACCCAAGGUGGGGCUUGAACUCAACCCCAUAAUCAAGAGUUGAAUGCUGUACAGCCUGAGCCAGCCAGAUGCCCCCAAGUUAUUUGUAUUAAAUGCAUUUUCAACUUAAGGAUAUUUUCAGCUUACCAAUGGGUUUAUCAGGAUCCAACCCCGUUAAGUCAAAGAUGUGUAUUUGAAAUGUUUGUGUCAUGAAUGUAGGACCCUUCUGAUUAAGAGUAAUAGUGUCUGUAGUGGUUUUUUUUUUUUUAACCUUUGGAUUGUUUACAAUUGAUCCCCCUGCCCCCUCCUCGCCCCAGGAAGUAAUUCCACGUUACUACUGUGUGUCACUUAUUGAUAGUGGUUUCUGGGCAGCCGGUGACGCUCCUUACCUUUGAGAAGCCCUUCUUUAGAACUGUAAUAUUUAUUACAUCUGCUGGGCUUGCAGGUGGAAACCUGACGUAGUUGGGUCAGAUAUCCACAGCGAGAUUAAGUGGAUUGGAGAAUCACAAACCAGCAUGGCUCUGCUUCUAGGUUUCCGGGACUGGCUCUGCAGCCCCACCUGCGCGGGAGCUUGGGACCGGACCUCUGGCUCGGCCCCGCCCGGCGCGGCCGCUGGGUUAGGACACUGUUGGGCGCGUGCGCGUGCUGGGUUAGGACACUGUUGGGCGCGUGCGCAGCGCCCGCCUCCGCGUGCUUGGCCCGGGCUUUGGAGCCCGCCGGAGGGCUGACCUAGGUCCUGCUAACCUGAUUCUCCUUGUUCCCGCGACCCGGCUCGCUCUAACCCGCUGCAGCCGGAGGGGCCGCUCUGCAUACCCUCGUUUUUGUACGCUCUUCCCCUGCCCUGACCGAAGGGCUAUUUUACCCGGAGAAACUGGGUUUAAGGGCUUCGAGAAUUUGUGACAUGGACUCCAGGACCCAGCCAUUCAGAGGCACCGAGAGAGACACUGGUUCGUUCUGUGGAAGAAUAACCUGGUACCCACAAAGGGACAUGUGGAGCAAGGAAGCCUGGACCACGGCCAGUGGACACAAUGAGCCCUAGCAUCGACGGCUCCUGAGAGGCUGAGGAGAAGGACUGAGAAAGGGCUUUGGGCCUGGGGCGCUGGCAAGCAUGAGGAAGGCAGUUUCCGGAGCAUGCUGGGGCCAGGCUGGGUUGCAGAGAGCUAGGGACUCAGUGGGUGCUGACAACGUGGCGUUUCAGGUAGAUGAGAACCAGGGGCUUGCGUCCAAGCUCUUCACCUCCUGCCCUGGCCUGUCACUGCCCUCAGCAGCUUCUGGGCUCCCAUCCCCUUCCUCAGCUGCCCCCUGCCUUGAGCAUGAGCUUUCUCUCUGGAACUCUCUCCUCCCUUCUGUUCCCCCAGCAGGACAUAGCAUCUUAGCAUCUGAGUCGACCCCAGAUGGGAACGUGGAGGCUUGGGGAGGGGCAGGGGCUUGCCAAGGACACAGCCAGGAGGAGGCAGAGCCAAUAGCAAAAGCCUGGCUCCUACUGCCCGACCCAGGACUCUUCUCUCCCACCCUGUCUCUCCGGAGAAGCUGUCCUUGACUGAGCCCUUUCAUUGGUUUACUCCGUAGCCCGGCGGUUUGCAUGCACCCAGUUUGUAUUCCAUUGUGACUUAAAAGUCCUCGUUUGGUGUUGUCUUCCAAUGACACCUAUUGCCUUGUCCUUGGCAUCUCUUCCAGAACCGAGUCCAGGGCUCUGCACGAGGCUGCGUCAUGUAGGUCAGGAGCCCAGGGUUCUCCACCUGGCUCUGCCUCUCGACCUGCAGAGAGUGCGGAGCGCAGUCCCAGCCCCAGAGGCAGUGCUGGCAGCAAACCAUGAAAAUAGGGAGGCAGGAUGCAGACAGAAGGCACCAAGCCAGCUUUCUGCUCCUUGGAAGUCCCUCGAGGGAUCCCUUCACCUCUGAGGAGAAUUCAAGCCCCCAGGCUCUACAGGCCUGCCUUGAACAGGAGUUGCUCGGGACCAGGCUUGUGGUCCGGGACAUGUGGUAUGCUCACCCUUCAGUUGCGGUUCAAGAGCUGUGAGUGGUGUGCGGUCCAACUCCAGACCUGAGCUUGGAUUCUAAAUGCCCCCAGACAUACCCACCCUCGCACUCCAACCCAGGCUGAGAUGUGCAAGUGUCCUUGUUUCCCUCUUCUGCUCCUUCACUGAGGGGAUCGUCCUUUGAGGGUCCUGGGUUAUCGGAGGGUUUCAGUUCUGUCUCCUUACCCUGUACUGCCAGAGCCUGGACCCACCACCCCUUUGCCGUCUCCUGACUCAUCUCCCCACCCUGGGACUCUUCCCCUGCUUAGUCUUUUCUUUUUUUUUUCAGUAAGCUCUACACCCAAUGUGGGGCUCGAACUCACGACCCUGAGAUCAAGAGUCGCUCACUCUACCGACUGGGCCAGCCAGGUGCCCCCCUAUCCCUCCCAUCCCCCCGGCUAUUCUUCAUCCUCACACUAGAUGGAUCUUAGUACAACAUGGCUCUGAUCACGCUCAAGGACCUGCCGCAGCUCCCUGUGGGUAAAAAUGUAGCAUUUCGGGCCUUGGCAGAAGGGCUUCAACCCAAAUUGGCAGUCUCCUUACUGGCCACUCUUAGCAGGGAGGCCACUGGGCAGGCAGGCAGUGACUCAGGGGGUCCCGGGGGAAGUGCAGGUCACCUGCUGGGCACUUGGGGCCUCUUGCCCGGCAAAACGAUAACCCCUGCCCACCCUAUCAUUCACAGUCUUCUCAGACCUCAUUUGCCCAUUUUAUUCAUAACAUCCCAGGGAAGAAGAAAAAUGCUAUUUUAUUUAUUAAUUUAUUUUUAAGUAGGCUGCAUGCCCAGCGCGGAGCCCA